GUUUUUUAUUAGUGUGCUCGCCAAGAUUUCGCAAUCUCGUGCCUACGUAUCCUUAUGGUGCAAUAAGGAAAUCAGAGCAUUCGUAGUUCGGGCAACUACGGUUUUGGUGUGUUUUGUUUGAUGGAUGACUGUGUAGGUCGGCGUUCUAAAGGCUAAACGCUGGCUUGUCUACUCUCGGCGGAGGCUUAAGCACUGGUUUGUUGUGCGCAUUAGAAAGGAUUGACAGUGUUCUUUUUGAAAAGAGUUAUGGUCACGCGGGGGUGACAAGUUGAAUUGAUGUGUCGAAUGUUUUGUUUGGUUUGUUUCGAUCGCUUGGGGGCGAGAAGUUGG
rnacentral:lncRNA from 1 species